AUUGAACGCUGGAGUGUGCUUAACACAUGCAAGUCGUGCGAGAAAGGGACUUCGGUCCUGAGUAGAGCGGCGCACGGGUGAGUAACGCGUGGGUAAUCUCCCUUGGUGAUCGGGAUAACAGCGGGAAACUGCUGCUAAUACCGGAUAAUCUUCAUGUUUAACUUCAUGGGGUAAAGGUGGCCUCUGCUUGCAAACUACCACAUCAAGAUGAGCCCGCGUCUCAUUAGCUAGUUGGUAGGGUAAUGGCCUACCAAGGCUACGAUGAGUAGCUGGUCUGAGAGGAUGACCAGCCACACUGGGACUGGAACACGGCCCAGACUCCUACGGGAGGCAGCAGUGGGGAAUAUUGCGCAAUGGGCGAAAGCCUGACGCAGCGACGCCUCGUGAGGGAUGAAGGUCUUCGGAUCGUAAACCUCUGUCAAGAGGGAAGAAACCCUUGGAUUCGAAUAGGGUCCUUGGCUGACGGUACCUCAAAAGGAAGCACCGGCUAACUCCGUGCCAGCAGCCGCGGUAAUACGGAGGGUGCAAGCGUUAAUCGGAAUCACUG
rnacentral:rRNA from 1 species